rnacentral:misc_RNA from 1 species
CCUAACCCUAAUUUUAAUCCUAAUUCACUAACUCAACAACCAGUCCCCGACAUCUCUGAAGAGAUCAUUGUAAUCAACAAGGAAUCCACUUCCGAGGCAUUGAUUGCGCUCUCUGCAGGAUUUCCCGCUGAUUCCUUAACCGACGAGGAAAUUGACGCUGGUGUAGUUUCUGUUAUUGGAGGAAUUGAGCAGGUUAGGGUUUUCUACAACACGG